ACGCUGGCGGCGUGCCUAAUACAUGCAAGUCGAGCGAAAUGGAUUAAGAGCUUGCUCUUAUGAAGUUAGCGGCGGACGGGUGAGUAACACGUGGGUAACCUGCCCAUAAGACUGGGAUAACUCCGGGAAACCGGGGCUAAUACCGGAUAACAUUUUGAACUGCAUGGUUCGAAAUUGAAAGGCGGCUUCGGCUGUCACUUAUGGAUGGACCCGCGUCGCAUCAGCUAGUUGGUGAGGUAACGGCUCACCAAGGCAACGAUGCGUAGCCGACCUGAGAGGGUGAUCGGCCACACUGGGACUGAGACACGGCCCAGACUCCUACGGGAGGCAGCAGUAGGGAAUCUUCCGCAAUGGACGAAAGUCUGACGGAGCAACGCCGCGUGAGUGAUGAAGGCUUUCGGGUCGUAAAACUCUGUUGUUAGGGAAGAACAAGUGCUAGUUGAAUAAGCUGGCACCCUGACGGUACCUAACCAGAAAGCCACGGCUAACUACGUGCCAGCAGCCGCGGUAAUACGUAGGUGGCAAGCGUUAUCCGGAAUUAUUGGGCGUAAAGCGCGCGCAGGUGGUUUCUUAAGUCUGAUGUGAAAGCCCACGGCUCAACCGUGGAGGGUCAUUGGAAACUGGGAGACUUGAGUGCAGAAGAGGAAAGUGGAAUUCCAUGUGUAGCGGUGAAAUGCGUAGAGAUAUGGAGGAACACCAGUGGCGAAGGCGACUUUCUGGUCUGUAACUGACACUGAGGCGCGAAAGCGUGGGGAGCAAA
rnacentral:rRNA from 1 species